AACCAUAGAAACCUGCGGAGUACCUGCGGAAGGAUCAUUAAUAGAGUGUAACCCCCCCUGUAAAAAAAAGGGGGUAACCUCCCGUCCUUUGCUGGUCCCCUAUUUGGGGGGUCUUUUAUUUUGACUUUGCUUCGGUGGGGUAACCCACCGGAACACCCUUAAAAAUUCUUGAUUUUAAAAAUUGUUCAGUCCGAGAUUAUAUUUUAAACAAAUUGAAAACUUUUAGCAACGGAUCUCAGA
rnacentral:misc_RNA from 1 species